rfam:Lactobacillus fermentum CECT 5716, complete genome.
AGAAACACGGUGAACAGGAGAGUAACUCCCGUUAUAAACUAGUAAGCGAGCCCCGUUGAGUGGAAGGGGGUCUGGUUUGAAGGGAGCGAAAGUAGCCUGGGAGUGGUCGAUGCGAAGUUUGAGUGUCGAACGGGUGCGCCCGUAAUCGCGCCGGCGUAUUCCGCGGAGUACGCGUUGAGGCGGGGCCAGCGAUGGUGCCGUAAAUCAAGGGUGGUAACACGCUUAGGCGUCCCUUCA